rnacentral:lncRNA from 1 species
UAGUAUUACUCAAUUUAUUUCACUUGACUGGGCGGAGUUUAAACGGUUCGCUCAUAAUAAACCAGUCCAUCUAUAGAUAGGUGUUUUAGUGUUUUAGAAUAUACUCAUCAAUGAAGUGCCCAGUCAUUCUUUUGUAAAUUCCUUUGAUGACACUGAUAGGUGAUUAGAAAUCAGUUAUAAUUAUAACGGCAAUCAUCCUUAUCACACACAUCUCCAAAUAGACUGUCCAUACGCAAAUUAAAACGUAAGCUCCGCCCG